rnacentral:rRNA from 1 species
UACGUAGGGUGCGAGCGUUAAUCGGAGUUACUGGGCGUAAAGGGUGCGCAGGUGGUUUAUCAAGCCAGAUGUGAAAGUCCUGGGCUUAACCUGGGGAUGGCAUAUGGGACUGAUAGGCUAGAGUACGAGAGAGGGGGGUAGAAUUCCAUGUGUAGCAGUGAAAUGCGUAGAGAUGUGGAGGAAUACCGAUGGCGAAGGCAGCCCCCUGGGUUGAUACUGACUCUCAAGCACGAAAGCGUGGGUAGCAAACAGG